rnacentral:rRNA from 1 species
CAUAAACGAUGCCGACCAGGGAUCAGCGGAUGUUUGUUUUAGGACUCGCUGGCACCUUAUGAGAAAUCAAAGUGUUUGGGU